AUGGGAACGCGAAGAACCUUACCUAGACUUGACAUCUCCUGAAUAGUGUAGAGAUACAUGAAGCCCUUCGGGGCAGGAAGACAGGUGGUGCAUGGUUGUCGUCAGCUCGUGUCGUGAGAUGUUGGGUUAAGUCCCGCAACGAGCGCAACCCUUAUUACUAGUUGCUACCAUUAAGUUGAGCACUCUAGUGAGACUGCCCGGGUUAACCGGGAGGAAGGCGGGGAUGACGUCAAAUCAUCAUGCCCCUUAUGUCUAGGGCUACACACGUGCUACAAUGGUGGGAACAAAGAGAUGCAAUACCGCAAGGUGGAGCUAAACUCAAAACCCCAUCCCAGUUCGGAUUGUAGGCUGAAACUACGCCUACAUGAAGCUGGAGUUGCUAGUAAUCGCGAAUCAGAAUGUCGCGGUGAAUACGUUCCCGGGUCUUGUACACACCG
rnacentral:rRNA from 1 species